rnacentral:tRNA from 1 species
GGGCCCAUAGCUCAGUUGGCUAGAGCGCUUCCAUGGCAUGGAAGAGGUCGUCGGUUCGAACCCGAUUGGGUCCA